rnacentral:piRNA from 1 species
UUAGAAGACCGAGAUGUGCCGACUGCAC